rnacentral:misc_RNA from 1 species
AAAUCCUCAAACCACAUUGAUUCUUUCGGUGUGGCUUUGGAAGUGGGGGUAGUGUUUGCAGGUUUUAUCUUAAGUCUGCUCCCCUGAAAUGCAUUAGUGGUAUCUGAGCAGAAGGAACUACUACAGGUGUGAUAAUUUAUCUAUGCCUUAGUAUACUGCAUAAAACAGAUUACACUGCUUAUAACAAACUUUAUUUCUUUUUCU